rnacentral:pre_miRNA from 1 species
CUUGUACUCCCUCCGUCCGAAAAUACUUGUCAUUGAAAUGAAUGUAUCUAGAUGUAUUUUAGUUCUAGACACAUCCAUUUUGAUGACAAGUAAUUCCGGACGGAGGGAGUACUUG